GACGGACGCUGGCGGCGUGCUUAACACAUGCAUGUCGAACGAUGACGCCCGAGCUUGCUCGGUCUGAUUAGUGGCGAACGGGUGAGUAACACGUGAGCAACCUGCCCUUCACUCUGGGAUAACCUCGGGAAAUCGGGGCUAAUACCGGAUAUGAGCUCCUGUCGCAUGGCGGGUGUUGGAAAGUUUUUCGGUGAAGGAUGGGCUCGCGGCCUAUCAGUUUGUUGGUGAGGUAGUGGCUCACCAAGGCGAUGACGGGUAGCCGGCCUGAGAGGGCGACCGGCCACACUGGGACUGAGACACGGCCCAGACUCCUACGGGAGGCAGCAGUGGGGAAUAUUGCACAAUGGGCGAAAGCCUGAUGCAGCGACGCCGCGUGAGGGAUGACGGCCUUCGGGUUGUAAACCUCUUUCAGCAGGGAAGAAGCGAAAGUGACGGUACCUGCAGAAGAAGCGCCGGCUAACUACGUG
rnacentral:rRNA from 1 species